CCCGCCAUUGAGCGGCGCGCGCACACCCGCCGUUCGGAGGGCGCCGGGUGCCGUGUGCCGGGCCCGGGCGGUGUGAGGCGGAGCGGAGAGGUAGGGCAGCCCGCAGGCCCGGGCUGAGGCCCUCGGCGGCGGCUGACGGGAGACAGGCAGGGCGGGACGGGGCGGCUGUCCUUCAGCGCCGCAUCGGCGGCGGCGGCCUGCUCCCGGUGGUGUCUAAAGGCGAAUGUCGAGCUGUUUCUGAUGACACAGCAAGGAAGAAGGCUGGGUGAAGAGCAGGCUGCUCCAGUCACCUGGGGACGUCACCUCAGAUUACACUGAAGUACAAGGAACAUGAGGUGGAAUCAAUGCAACCCUGCUUAGAACACCAAGUACUAGGAGUCUUAUUCUUUCUCCAG